UGGCACCACUGGGUCCAGCUGGUGUCAUAAUGCUGCAGUCAACUGAGUCAACAUGAGAGUCCUCUCUGGCUCUGAGCCUGUCCUCACUGGCUGCUUCACGUCCCUCUCUAUGCUGCCAUCUCAAGUUUUUAUGGCUCAGAGAGUUCCUGUCACUUCCCUGCUGAAUUCCUGUGUUCUUCCUUAGAAACUCUAUUCUAUUUUUGAUUAUCUACUGGCUGUUUUGUUUCUUCUUCGUGGAGAAGGAACCAUUUUCUUUAAUGAAAGAUAUUGGGUGGAGAUAGAAUUAGGUAAUUUGAAGGUAGCAGUAUUUCUCUGAAUUCUAGGAAUGCUCAAGGUGUUACCAAUUGUGAUAAUGCUACGAGGUGAGGCCUUUAAGAAGUAAUUAGGCCAUGAGGGCUCUUCUUGCAGGAACGGAGGAAUGCGAAAACAUCAUGUUCCAGGGACAGUCUUCAUUUGCGCUAGACAAAAGACAAACAAUCCUUCCUUGAAUGGACCCACUCUUCUUUUUUCACUCAUCUCCUCUCACUGAUCUCCCUGCUGGUGGUGGCGGAUAGAAGGCAGAGAUGUGGUCAACACCAAAUGAGAUUAUGUUCUGGGAAUUCAGAGAUUACAGUCUGAAGAAUUCAAGAUAAGGUAUGACCUCCAUAAAGAACCUUCAUAUCAUCUUGCCCUGCAUGAAAUAUAUUAGAAGCCUUUGCUCUGGUCUUUCAUGGUACUUUUAAAGGAUAUUAUCAUUUACAAAAUGGAAUACCAAUGACUUUUCACAAGUGGUCUAUCAACUAAGCAUGUACUUAAGUAAAUAUUUUCAGAGGAUUUCAUUAACCUCUGAGUGAAUAGUUGAAAAAAAAGAAUGAAACAGAUAUAAGUCCAUGUUUUUAUUUGUAAAUAAAUGUAUUGCCAAAAUUACAUACAAAUAACAAAUAAUGUCUCGAGUGACAUGCAAUGAUCAAAAUCCUCAAAAGAAUACUUUUGUUUAGUAGAGAUUUGAACAAAUAAACUACAAUUUAAGGAGACUGUUGUAUUUCUUUUGAGAUAACCCCAUAAGUUUUACAUUCUGUAUCAAGGCAUCCAUUUGCAGUAAUAAAGAUUCAAGGCUUAUCCCUAAAAGGCAAUGCCCAUUCUUUAUAGUCAAUAUGAUCCUGCUAGCACAUAAAGCCUGAAGAAAUAACAGAUACUAGAUUUAAAACCACUUUACUAAAAUUAAUCCAUGGUGAUGAUAUGGAAGAAAACCACAGGAGUCUUGAGAAAAUAAACUAGCUGCUGUCUGGUUGAUACCAGAAAUAGAGAUUGGUAUAAGGAAAAAAUUAAAAGAAAGAAGUAUCACAAAUAAGAAUGAUUGAUACUUAUUAGAAACAUAUCUGGAAAUAGAUGAUUAGGAAUAUUAAAAAUAAAAAUGAAGAGGUAUAUAUGAUGCCACUGAAGAAACAAGCAAAAUUCAAAUGAAUAAAAGGUAAACAAGAAAUCAGGAAAUAAAAAAAGUCCAAUAAAAUCUGAAAAGGGAAAGAAGGCACAAAGUAAGUAUCAAUAAAGAAACCACAAUAUCAUUACUGCAAAGUCAGAGGUCAAAACAUCAUAGCUAUAGAAACCUUAAAGAGACUUUUUAAAAUAUAUCAUUUCUAAGAGGCCAUAAUAUACAAUAAGUUACAAAUAUAAAAAUGUUUUAAUAUUUACAAUUUAACGUACAUGUAGACAAUAAAGUUAUGGGAAAAGAAACAAAAGACAACAAAAGUAACAUCCCUACUUAUGUACACUCACUAUGCUUUCACGGUACAUACUUUUACUUUCCAAACCCUAACAAUUAUAUAGCAUUUCACACAAUAAAAUUUUAUAUAGCAUAUCUGAAUUACUUCAAAGCUUAAUGCGGAUUUAAAUAAUAAAACUUUACUAUUUUGAUCAUAAAUUAAGCAAAUGAGACUAAAAUGACAUUUUUUAUUUUCAACUUAAUGGUUAUUUAAUAAUCACUGCACUCCUUGGGGAUGUUAACAUUGUAGAACUCGACAAAUUAACAAGAUAGUUCUAGGUUGACUCUAUUUUCUCUUAAAUAUUAAAUUUAUGAUUUGCUAAAAAAAAAAAAAAACCUCUAAUAAGGACACAGAACUUAUAGUUUGCCAGUUUGUGUUACAAGAACUUUCUACACUGAGGAAGAUAUGAACACUAGUUAUCACACUCCAAACACUCUGCUUCCUGCACAUACCAUCUCCUGCAUUGCCUAUUUUUUCUAGCAAAGCACUUAGUAAUCACUUGUAUAUGUUUAAUUGUGGAAGUCUUAAAGCUGUAAUAAUUUAUAUUGUGUAAAAUAGAAAGGACGUGAAUUCAGUACAUCAGGGAUGGAAAAUAUGCUCUUACUCAUUCUCCUGUGGCUGAAGUAGAAAUCAGUAGUAUGUAUGUAAACCUUUUUUUCCUGAGCCUCAAAAUUCCUCUCAAUGCUCAGUUCCAGGCAGCCAUUACCAAUUGCUAAGAGUUAGCAUAUGGGUGAAAAUUGAUUUGACAUCUCUAGUUAGAAUAUGAAAUGCUGGCGUAUAAAUUAUAGGUCAAGAGAUCACAGGUAUCUGGAUAAGCAAUAUCAUUCAGUUACAAAAAAAAAUUGGUGUGCAGGGUUAAUAUGAAAUCUGAGAACUAUGUAAACCAUUUCUCAGAGAUUAAAGCCAUGAUAUAGUUACAAUGUAGCCAAAACUGGCUGUGGAACAUAGAGAACUCGUAAGUGUUACUGUCUUAGAUAGCUGGAACGAUCACUGAGACUACUCUUUUAUAUGUUAACUUGUUUACUGCUCACAGCAAACUUAUAUGUUGAGUACUAUGAUUAUCAUCUACCUAUCCUCAAUUAAAACACAUGUACCCUAAAACUUAAAGUAUAAUAAUAAUAAAAUAAAAACAAAACAAACAAAAAGAAAACAAAGAGAUCUUAUUAUCAUCCCCAAGUUAAACUGCAUAACAAAAGGUAGAGGUGGGAUUUUUAACUAAUUUAUCUUCAGAGUAAGUGUCUCUACUAACUUCUAUACUUUCUGUUGCCUAUGCAAGUCUGUUAUAGAAAUCAAAUAAGAACAUGUGGGUAAAAGUGAGUUUAAACCACUAGCAGAUGUAAGGAGUUGAUAUUAAUAAUGAAUCCAUGAAACAUGCAGGGGGGUUAAAGGUUGGGUUUGCAAAUAAGAGGUUUGUGUUUGUUUGUUGUUGUUCUUUUUUUUGAGAUAGAGUCUCGCUGUAUCACCAGGCUGGAGUGCAGUGGUGCGAUACCAGCUUACUGCAACCUCGUCCUCCCGGGUUCAUGCCAUUCUCCUGCGUCAGCCUCUUGAGUAGCUGGGACUACAGGUGCGUGCCACCAUGCCUGGCUAAUUUUUUGUAUUUAUUGUAGAGACAGGAUUUAACCACGUUAGCCAAGUUGAUCUUGAUCUCCUGACUUUGUGAUCCACCCACCUUGGCCUCCCAAAGUGCUGGGAUUACAGGUAUGAGCCAUGGCACUUGGCCUUUUGUUUUGCUUUGUUUUG
rnacentral:lncRNA from 1 species